UACGAAGGGGGCUAGCGUUGCUCGGAAUCACUGGGCGUAAAGGGUGCGUAGGCGGGUUUUUAAGUCAGAGGUGAAAUCCUGGAGCUCAACUCCAGAACUGCCUUUGAUACUGAGAAUCUUGAGUACGGGAGAGGUGAGUGGAACUGCGAGUGUAGAGGUGAAAUUCGUAGAUAUUCGCAAGAACACCAGUGGCGAAGGCGGCUCACUGGUCCGGUACUGACGCUGAGGUGCGAAAGCGUGGGGAGCAAACAGG
rnacentral:rRNA from 1 species